AUACGAAGGGGGCUAGCGUUGCUCGGAAUCACUGGGCGUAAAGCGCACGUAGGCGGAUCGUUAAGUCAGGGGUGAAAUCCUGGAGCUCAACUCCAGAACUGCUCUUGAUACUGGCGAUCUCGAGUUCGAGAGAGGUUGGUGGAACUCCGAGUGUAGAGGUGAAAUUCGUAGAUAUUCGGAAGAACACCAGUGGCGAAGGCGGCCAACUGGCUCGAUACUGACGCUAAGGUGCGAAAGCGUGGGGAGCAAACAGGAUUAGAUCCCCUGGUAGUCCACGCCGUAAACGAUGGAUGCUAGCCGUUGGGGGGUUUACCUCUCAGUGGCGCAGCUAACGCCUUAAGCAUCCCGCCUGGGGAGUACGGUCGCAAGAUUAA
rnacentral:rRNA from 1 species